rnacentral:rRNA from 1 species
AGCGAACGCUGGCGGCAGGCUUAACACAUGCAAGUCGAACGGGCACUUCGGUGCUAGUGGCAGACGGGUGAGUAACGCGUGGGAACGUGCCUUUCGGUUCGGAAUAAUCCAGGGAAACUUGGACUAAUACCGGAUACGCCCUUCGGGGGAAAGAUCUAUCGCCGAAAGAUCGGCCCGCGUCUGAUUAGCUAGUUGGUGAGGUAAAGGCUCACCAAGGCGACGAUCAGUAGCUGGUCUGAGAGGAUGAUCAGCCACAUUGGGACUGAGACACGGCCCAAACUCCUACGGGAGGCAGCAGUGGGGAAUAUUGGACAAUGGGCGCAAGCCUGAUCCAGCCAUGCCGCGUGAGUGAUGAAGGCCUUAGGGUUGUAAAGCUCUUUUGUCCGGGAAGAUAAUGACUGUACCGGAAGAAUAAGCCCCGGCUAACUUCGUGCCAGCAGCCGCCGUAAAAC